GAUGAAGAACGCAGCGAAAUGCGAUACUUGGUGUGAAUUGCAGAAUCCCGUGAACCAUCGAGUCUUUGAACGCAAGUUGCGCCUCAAGCCAUUAGGUUGAGGGCACGUCUGCCUGGGCGUCACAUAUCGUUGCCUGAUGCCAGUUUCCUCGUGAUGGGUGACUGUGCAGGGCGAAUGAUGGCUUCCCGUGAGCAUUGUUGCCUCAUGGUUGGUUGAAAAUUGAGUCCUUGGUAGGGAGCGCCGUGAUAGAUGGUGGUUGAGUGACGAACGAGACCCAAUCAUGUGAGACCCCUACCGAAUUUGGCCUUCAUGACCCACAUGCGUCUUUGGAACGCUCAUGACGAGACCUCAGGUCAGGCGGGGCUACCCGCUGAGUUUAAGCAUAGCAAUAAGCGGAGGA
rnacentral:misc_RNA from 1 species